rnacentral:rRNA from 1 species
GACGAACGCUGUCGGCGUGCUUAACACAUGCAAGUCGAACGGAAAGGCCCUGCUUUUGUGGGGUGCUCGAGUGGCGAACGGGUGAGUAACACGUGAGUAACCUGCCCUUGACUUUGGGAUAACUUCAGGAAACUGGGGCUAAUACCGGAUAGGAGCUCCUGCUGCAUGGUGGGGGUUGGAAAGUUUCGGCGGUUGGGGAUGGACUCGCGGCUUAUCAGCUUGUUGGUGGGGUAGUGGCCUACCAAGGCUUUGACGGGUAGCCGGCCUGAGAGGGUGACCGGCCACAUUGGGACUGAGAUACGGCCCAGACUCCUACGGGAGGCAGCAGUGGGGAAUAUUGCACAAUGGGCGGAAGCCUGAUGCAGCAACGCCGCGUGCGGGAUGACGGCCUUCGGGUUGUAAACCGCUUUCGCCUGUGACGAAGCGUGAGUGACGGUAAUGGGUAAAGAAGCACCGGCUAACUACGUGCCAGCAGCCGCGGUGAUACGUAGGGUGCGAGCGUUGUCCGGAUUUAUUGGGCGUAAAGGGCUCGUAGGUGGUUGAUCGCGUCGGAAGUGUAAUCUUGGGGCUUAACCCUGAGCGUGCUUUCGAUACGGGUUGACUUGAGGAAGGUAGGGGAGAAUGGAAUUCCUGGUGGAGCGGUGGAAUGCGCAGAUAUCAGGAGGAACACCAGUGGCGAAGGCGGUUCUCUGGGCCUUUCCUGACGCUGAGGAGCGAAAGCGUGGGGAGCGAACAGGCUUAGAUACCCUGGUAGUCCACGCUGUAAACGGUGGGUACUAGGUGUGGGGUCCAUUCCACGGGUUCCGUGCCGUAGCUAACGCUUUAAGUACCCCGCCUGGGGAGUACGGCCGCAAGGCUAAAACUCAAAGGAAUUGACGGGGCCCCGCACAAGCGGCGGAGCAUGCGGAUUAAUUCGAUGCAACGCGUAGAACCUUACCCGGGUUUGACAUGGAUCGGGAGUGCUCAGAGAUGGGUGUGCCUCUUUUGGGGUCGGUUCACAGGUGGUGCAUGGCUGUCGUCAGCUCGUGUCGUGAGAUGUUGGGUUAAGUCCCGCAACGAGCGCAACCCUUGUUCACUGUUGCCAGCACGUUAUGGUGGGGACUCAGUGGAGACCGCCGGGGUCAACUCGGAGGAAGGUGGGGAUGACGUCAAGUCAUCAUGCCCCUUAUGUCCAGGGCUUCACGCAUGCUACAAUGGCUGGUACAGAGAGUGGCGAGCCUGUGAGGGUGAGCGAAUCUCGGAAAGCCGGUCUCAGUUCGGAUUGGGGUCUGCAACUCGACCUCAUGAAGUCGGAGUCGCUAGUAAUCGCAGAUCAGCAACGCUGUGGUGAAUACGUUCCCGGGGCU